UGGGGAAUCUUAGACAAUGGGGACAACCCUGAUCUAGCCAUGCCGCGUGAGUGAUGAAGGCCUUAGGGUUGUAAAGCUCUUUCAGCUGGGAAGAUAAUGACGGUACCAGCAGAAGAAGCCCCGGCUAACUCCGUGCCAGCAGCCGCGGUAAUACGGAGGGGGCUAGCGUUGUUCGGAAUUACUGGGCGUAAAGCGCACGUAGGCGGACUGGAAAGUUGGGGGUGAAAUCCCGGGGCUCAACCUCGGAACUGCCUUCAAAACUAUCAGUCUGGAGUUCGAGAGAGGUGAGUGGAAUUCCGAGUGUAGAGGUGAAAUUCGUAGAUAUUCGGAGGAACACCAGUGGCGAAGGCGGCUCACUGGCUCGAUACUGACGCUGAGGUGCGAAAGCGUGGGGAGCAAACA
rnacentral:rRNA from 1 species